UGUAACUAUGUAACUUGGGAAAGGGGUCACAGCACUAGGAAGGUUGAGAACCACUGCCUUAGAAGAAUGUGGAGAGCCUCUUCAGUAUCAUGGGGAAUGGAGAGACCCAGGUGUGGGGGAGGGUGCAACACACCAGGUUUCGGUAUCACGGCCUACAUUUUUUGGCAUCAGGAUUUUAUCCAGAUCUUUGAAAUGUUUGAGAGUUAGCAUUUGUCAAAAUAUAAUUUUCUACACAGCUACAGAGAGACCUCUAAUCCUGGUAUCCUUCGAUCUAUGGUUAGCUCCCAGGACAGAUAGAGGACUCCAAUGUGUUCUGCAUUCAUGGGCUCGAUGUUUUGUGGUCCCAACAUACUUGUGUAUUCACCCCGGGGCACCAGUCGUAGGGCAUCAUCAAUGCAUGGAGGGUCUGAUAGAUAACUGUAGGUGGCAAACUGCAAGGCACCCAAUAAUUCUGAAUGCAGGACAUUAGUUCAAUGCAGCGCCAUGCAGCGCAGGGCCCCGGCGUGAAGAGAUUCUGCUGAUGUCGUAGAUUUUAUCAUCUUUGUGUACUUUGUCUGCACUGGAAUCAAAUAACGUGAUCUGCUGUUAUUGAGCACCAAGUUAUUCUUCUCCUACAGACAAGGCGGAUUGUUGGCCUCCAAAUGAUGACCUUCUAUCUCUUAUAGGUUACCUAAAGGGACUCUCCUAAGGAGCUGGCUCACCAAAUCCCGUCCGCGGCUUCUCCUGUUCAUUGCUGGGCUAAAGAGACCUCAAGUCACCCUCAUGAGGAGGAAGAGGAUGAAACGUACCAAAGUUGCAAAGGCCACGUAAGCGAGUGAGCGCCCGGUCCCCACAUUUUCCGGAGGAAGUUCUGGCAAAGUCACGCGGAGAUGUCUGCACUUAUCACCAGAAGACCAGAAGAGAGACCUGAAGGACAAGCUGCGGCCCGGACUUUUGUCACCCCCCAACCUUUGUCUGAACCCCAAUAAUACAAUUCUAUUCUAUGU